GCCUGGGUGGCUCAGUCGGUUAAGCCUCUGACUUCAGCUCAGGUCACGAUCUCGCGGUCCGUGAGUUCGAGCCCCGCGUCAGGCU
rfam:Felis catus isolate Cinnamon breed Abyssinian chromosome C2, whole genome shotgun sequence.